GAGGUUCCACCUCUUCCCAUUCCGAACAGAGAAGUUAAGCUCAGUCACGCCGAUGGUACUGCGUAACAGUGGGAGAGUAGGUAGUCGCCGUUU
rnacentral:rRNA from 1 species